UGGGGAAUUUUGGACAAUGGGCGAAAGCCUGAUCCAGCAAUGCCGCGUGUGUGAAGAAGGCCUUCGGGUUGUAAAGCACUUUUGUCCGGAAAGAAAUCCUUGGCUCUAAUACAGUCGGGGGAUGACGGUACCGGAAGAAUAAGCACCGGCUAACUACGUGCCAGCAGCCGCGGUAAUACGUAGGGUGCAAGCGUUAAUCGGAAUUACUGGGCGUAAAGCGUGCGCAGGCGGUUUGCUAAGACCGAUGUGAAAUCCCGGGCUCAACCUGGGAACUGCAUUGGUGACUGGCAGGCUAGAGUAUGGCAGAGGGGGGUAGAAUUCCACGUGUAGCAGUGAAAUGCGUAGAGAUGUGGAGGAAUACCGAUGGCGAAGGCAGCCCCCUGGGCCAAUACUGACGCUCAUGCACGAAAGCGUGGGGAGCAAACAGGAUUAGAUACCCUGGUAGUCCACGCCCUAAACGAUGUCAACUAGUUGUUGGGGAUUCAUUCUAGUAACGUAGCUAACGCGUGAAGUUGACCGCCUGGGGAUACGGUCGCAAGAUUAAAACUCAAGGAAUUGACGGGGUCAUAGCUGUUUCCU
rnacentral:rRNA from 1 species